rnacentral:rRNA from 1 species
GAGGGGCAGCGGGAAAUAAGCUUGCUUAUUUUGCCGGCGACCGGCGCACGGGUGCGUAACGCGUAUCGAACCUGCCCCAUACUCGGGCAUAGCCCAGCGAAAGUUGGAUUAACUCCCGAUGUUGUGAUAUUGCCGCAUGACAUUAUCACCAAAGUUUACGGUAUGGGAUGGCGAUGCGUUGGAUUAGCUGGUUGGCGGGGUAACGGCCCACCAAGGCGACGAUCCAUAGGGGUUCUGAGAGGAAGGUCCCCCACAUUGGAACUGAGACACGGUCCAAACUC